AGAGUUUGAUCAUGGCUCAGAACGAACGCUGGCGGCAUGCCUAACACAUGCAAGUCGAACGAAGUCUUCGGACUUAGUGGCGCACGGGUGCGUAACGCGUGGGAAUCUGCCCUUGGGUGCGGAAUAACUUCUCGAAAGGGAUGCUAAUACCGCAUAAUGUCGUAAGACCAAAGAUUUAUCGCCCAAGGAUGAGCCCGCGUAAGAUUAGCUAGUUGGUGGGGUAAAAGCCUACCAAGGCGACGAUCUUUAACUGGUCUGAGAGGAUGAUCAGUCACACUGGAACUGAGACACGGUCCAGACUCCUACGGGAGGCAGCAGUGAGGAAUAUUGCACAAUGGGCGAAAGCCUGAUGCAGCGACGCCGCGUGGAGGAUGAAGGAUUUCGGUCUGUAAACUCCUGUCAGUAGGGAAGAGAAUGGACGGUACCUACUGAGGAAGCUUCGGCUAACUACGUG
rnacentral:rRNA from 1 species